AAGCAUGGAGAUCCUGGCGUGUGGCGUCGACGGGCGCAGCGUAUCAACCCCGCAACCGAAGAGGGACGGCGGUGAAUGCCUCCUGAUUGCAAAACGGUGUCAACCUGGAGAGUCUGCCUGCGCAAGAUGAUGCACCACGCUUCCAAAGAGAAAUUGCUCAAGAGGACAAGAACUGGGAGCAGAAUAUUCAGGAAUUGCAGAAGAAGCACCGAAUAAGAGACAAGGUUCUGCUGGUGAAGUGUGUGUUCGUCCUCACGGUGGUGAUCUUCAUGUUCUUCCUCAACUCCUUUGUUCCCAGCAUUCAUCU